UAAGCAUAAUUUGAAGUGAAUUUCACCUAAAUUUACAUAUCAUCCACUUUCCGUUACCAAACAAACAGUCUACACCAGAAGCGGAUCACCUUGUGUUUUUCUAUAAAUAUCUUCCUCAUUUCUCUCCACUUUUUUGGCAUUUCAGAGAGAAACAAAAGAGACAGAGAUAGAGCGAGAGAGAGAGAGAGAGAGAGAGCGAGCGCGAGAGAGAAGUGGAUCUCUUCUUAUCUGUUUACCUGGUUAAUCUUUCUUUCUCUUUUCAACUCUGAAUUCCUCCUAUAUAAUAUAUUUAAUAUCUUUGUAUGUGUAUGUGCAGCUGUUUCGAAGAAUGUAUGUUAGAUUCAUGAUGUUCCAGUAGUUUUUAGAUGUAAUCUAUUUAUGAAUUGCUGAUAUAUUGAAGGUAGUGUUGAAUUUGUGUGUUGAAUUGGAUUCGUGUCGUAUAUUUUGCCACGUUGACUUUCUAGGGUUUACACUUUUUCUCCUUUUCAAUUCUUAUUAUUAAUUGUUUAUAUAGUUGAUUAUAUUGUAGUCUAUCAGCUACCUGUACGUUAUAAUUGACUGAUGUGAUGAUAAAAAUGGAGCAAGUAUAUGAAUAGUUUACUGUUCUAGCCGGGAGCCUUGAACAUAGCUUAUACAGUAGCUUUAAGAUGUGUUGUGGAAAUACAGAUUAUUUUUCAUAGUAGAUCUUGUUGAUGAACAAAGUGUUGGGAGUCACAGUGAAAAUCACAGCAACAAUGNNN
rnacentral:lncRNA from 1 species